rnacentral:rRNA from 1 species
GACGAACGCUGGCGGCGUGCCUAAUACAUGCAAGUCGAACGCAGUGGGGACGGGUGAGUAACACGUGGGUAACCUCCCAUCAGAGGGGAUAACACUUGGAAACAGGUGCUAAACCGCUACUGAUGGAUGGACCCGCGGUGCAUUAGCUAGUUGGUGAGGUUACGGCCUACCAAGGCCACGAUGCAUACGCGAGCUGGGAGGGGGAACGGCCACAAUGGGACUGGAGCACGGCCCAGAACCCUACGGGAGGCAGCAGGAGGGAAACGUCGGCAAUGGACGGAAGUCUGGCCGAGCAACGCCGCGGGAGUGAAGAAGGGUUUCGGAUCGUAAAGCUCUGUUGUUAGAGAAGCGGUAACUAACCAGAAAGGGACGGCUAACUACGUGCCAGCAGCCGCGGUAAUAC